AGCAGCCGCGGUAAUUCCAGCUCCAAUAGCGUAUAUUAAAGUUGUUGCAGUUAAAAAGCUCGUAGUUGAAUUUCGGGGUCAGUAGAUUGGUCAUGCCUCCGGUAUGUACUGGUCUUACUGGCUCCUCCUUCCUGAUGAACCGUAAUGCCAUUAAUUUGGUGUUGCGGGGAGACUGGACUGUUACUUUGAAAAAUUAGAGUGUUUAAAGCAGGCUAACGCUUGAAUACAUUAGCAUGGAAUAAUGAAAUAGGACGUUCGAUCUUAUUUUGUUGGUUUCUAAGAUUGACGUAAUGAUUAAUAGGGAUAGUUGGGGC
rnacentral:rRNA from 1 species